GAGGGCGUAGCUCAAUCGGUAGAGCAGCGGACUUUUAAUCCGGAGGUUCAGGGUUCGAGUCCCUGCGCCCUCA
rnacentral:tRNA from 4 species